GUAGUCCACGCCCUAAACGAUGAUCACUGGGUGUUGGGGAAGCGAUUCCUUGGUACCGUAGCUAACGCGUGAAGUGAUCCGCCUGGGGAGUACGGCCGCAAGGUUAAAACUCAAAGGAAUUGACGGGGACCCGCACAAGCGGUGGAUGAUGUGGAUUAAUUCGAUGCAACGCGAACAACCUUACCUACCCUUGACAUGUCGCAGAGCCUGCUGAAAGGUGGGUGUGCCCGAAAGGGAAUGCGAACACAGGUGCUGCAUGGCUGUCGUCAGCUCGUGUCGUGAGAUGUUGGGUUAAGUCCCGCAACGAGCGCAACCCUUGUCCCUAGUUGCUACGCAAGGGCACUCUAGGGAGACUGCCGGUGACAAACCGGA
rnacentral:rRNA from 1 species